rnacentral:rRNA from 1 species
CCUACGGGAGGCAGCAGUGAGGAAUAUUGGUCAAUGGGAGAGAUCCUGAACCAGCCAAGCCGCGUGAGGGAAGACGGCCCUAUGGGUUGUAAACCUCUUUUGUCGGGGAACAUAUCCCGGGACGUGUCGCGUACGGCGCGUAUCCGACGAUACAACAUGGGGAAACUCCGUGGCAGCAGCAGGGGUAAUACGGAGUAUGCGAGCGUUAUCCGGAUUUAUUGGGGUUAAUAGGUGCGUGGGGGGUCCGUUAAGUCAGCGGUAAAAUUGCGGGGCUAAACCCCGUCGAGCCGUUGAAACUGGCAGACUUGAGUUGGCGAGAAGUACGCGGAAUGCGUGGUGUAGCGGUGAAAUGCAUAGAUAUCGAGCAGAACUCCGAUUGCGAAGGCAGCGUACCGGCGCCAGACUGACGCUGAGGCACGAAAGCGUGGGGAUCGAACAGGAUUAGAUACCCUGGUAGUC